ACGACGAGGUUGAUAGGUUCGGGGUGGAAGCACGGUAACGUGUGCAGCUGACGAAUACUAAUCGGUCGAGGGCUUAUCCAA
rfam:Bacillus xerothermodurans strain ATCC 27380 scaffold_19, whole genome shotgun sequence.